rnacentral:rRNA from 1 species
UACGGGGGGGGGCAAGCGUUGUUCGGAAUUACUGGGCGUAAAGGGCUCGUAGGCGGCCAACUAAGUCAGACGUGAAAUCCCUCGGCUUAACCGGGGAACUGCGUCUGAUACUGGAUGGCUUGAGUUCGGGAGAGGGAUGCGGAAUUCCAGGUGUAGCGGUGAAAUGCGUAGAUAUUGGGAGGAACACCAGUGGCGAAGGCGGCUCGCUGGACCGGUUCUGACGCUGAUGCGCGAAAGCGUGGGGAGCAAACGGG